GUUCUUGCUUCGGCAGCACAUACACUAAAAUUGGAACGAUACAGAGAAGAUUAACAUGGCCGCCAUGCAAGGAUGACACGCAAAUUCAUGGUUUUUUGCAGUCUACA